rnacentral:rRNA from 1 species
GACGAACGCUGGCGGCGUGCUUAACACAUGCAAGUCGAGCGAGAAAGCGCCUUCGGGUGUGAGUACAGCGGCGAACGGGUGAGUAACACGUGGGCAACCUGCCCCAGAGACUGGGAUAACGUCCCGAAAGGGACGCUAAUACCGGAUGAUGCGUGACCCGCCAAGUGGGUCUCGCCAAAUGGUAGCUUAGGCUUCUGCUCUGGGAUGGGCCCGCGCAGCAUUAGCUUGUUGGUGAGGUAACGGCUCACCAAGGCUGCGAUGCUUAGCUGGUCUGAGAGGACGAUCAGCCACACUGGGACUGAGACACGGCCCAGACUCCUACGGGAGGCAG